rnacentral:rRNA from 1 species
CAAUAGCGUAUAUUUAAGUUGUUGCAGUUAAAAAGCUCGUAGUUGGAUUUCGGAUGGGAUUUGCCGGUCCGUCGUUACGAUGUGCACUGGCCAGUCCUAUCUUGUUGUCGGGGACUAGCUCCUUGGAUUCACUUCCUGGGACUAGGAGCUGACGAGGUUACUUUGAGUAAAUUAGAGUGUUCAAAGCAAGCCUACGCUCUGAAUACAUUAGCAUGGAAUAACACGAUAGGACUCUGGCUUAUCUUGUUGGUCUGUGAGACCAGAGUAAUGAUUAAGAGGGACAGUCGGGGACAUUCGUAUUUCAUUGUCAGAGGUGAAAUUCUUGGAUUUAUGAAAGACGAACUUCUGCGAAAACAUUUGUCAAGGAUGUUUUCAUUAA